rnacentral:misc_RNA from 1 species
ACAUGUUUCCAGACUCUCGCAUUGACUGUUGAAUAAGUACUCAAGUACACAGAGUAGCCAAGAGAAUGUCUCGGCUUAUGCAACAUGAUUUCUUUCAGCUGAUAUCAGGGUCAAUUAGAAAUUCGUGUUCUUAUUUUCUCCCUUUCGAGAUCAAAUAUUGUGGGGUUUAGGAACAUAAUGUUGUUAUACAAGGUUUAACAAUUUCACUGCAACUAUGCGGGCAUCACCUGUUUCUGGAUUCUAUUUGCAUUGCAAAUGGUUGUAUUGAUUAGCCAAAACCUUUGCGGUACCACUUUAUGAAAUAAAGCUGAUGAAAAGGUUUUGGCUAAUCA